rnacentral:rRNA from 1 species
AUUGAACGCUGGCGGCAGGCCUAACACAUGCAAGUCGAGCGGAUGAAGGGAGCUUGCUCCUGGAUUCAGCGGCGGACGGGUGAGUAAUGCCUAGGAAUCUGCCUGGUAGUGGGGGAUAACGUCCGGAAACGGGCGCUAAUACCGCAUACGUCCUGAGGGAGAAAGUGGGGGAUCUUCGGACCUCACGCUAUCAGAUGAGCCUAGGUCGGAUUAGCUAGUUGGUGGGGUAAAGGCCUACCAAGGCGACGAUCCGUAACUGGUCUGAGAGGAUGAUCAGUCACACUGGAACUGAGACACGGUCCGGACUCCUACGGGAGGCAGCAGUGGGGAAUAUUGGACAAUGGGCGAAAGCCUGAUCCAGCCAUGCCGCGUGUGUGAAGAAGGUCUUCGGAUUGUAAAGCACUUUAAGUUGGGAGGAGGGGCAGUAAGUUAAUACCUUGCUGUUUUGACGUUACCAACAGAAUAAGCACCGGCUAACUUCGUG